rnacentral:lncRNA from 1 species
ACAGGCAUGAGCCAUCGUGCCUGGCCUAGUUCAGGUUCUUUUGUGUGAUCUAGAUGUUGGACAUAGACAGCAAUCUGAUUAACUAAUAUGCCAGGGUUUGGGAAACUGGUGUAGGAGGAUGUCAGGUUUCUGCUUGGCCUAUUGAGAAAACUGGAAGAGUUUAUAAAAGCAUAAUAGAGUUUGGAAGAGAGCCCAUAGCGGAGAGUCAGAGUGAAAACAGGAUAGAUAGAGACGCGCAAUCUCCAGUCAGCCUUUAAAUAAAUGGCCAAAGAAAAGGAGUCUUCAUUAAAAGGAAGAGGUAUUUUUGUUUUUGUUUUGGAGUAAGGAGACAUAAUGGGGGAGAAAAUCGGUGGAAGUGAAGUUUCUUAAUGACCUUGGGAAAAAAUUGUCUACUUCAUGAUGCUGUCUGCUUCCUGAGCCUGGGGAUUAACCCUGGAAAUCCUUACUUUAAGGUCACUUGCAGGGAUGGUCUUCCAAAUUGUCCUGAGAGUGCUGAUCUGGGGUCUCUCAAUUGUCCUAAGAGUGCUGACCUAGCUUAGCAUGGCUUGCAGGAAUCCAUGAGGAUUUUUAUUUUAUUUAGAUAGCGGCAUAAGUUGUUAGCAGUACUUCAUAAGGUCCUUCCUAGCUAGGUAAUGUCUUCUAAAAACCUUGAUGUACAUAGAUCUCCUCGUCAAAAGAGAUGGCAAGCAUUGUCAGUUGGCAGAGGCUGGCUGUGUCAUUUUUACCUGUUGAUAUGCUCCAAGUAUACUUGUCAGUUCCUGUAUAUAACUAGUCAUAGCAUCGAAUUGUUCACUUAAGUCUCCAUAAUGGUUCACUCAAUUCAAGAAUAGAAGGCUUAGAGAUACCAGUAGGCAUAGAACAACCAAGUAUUGUUUCCAAAGGGGUAAAUUCAUGCCUUCUAUUUCAAGUAUUACAGGUUUUAUGUAUUUAGGGGAACGCUUCUGGCCAUUUCAGUGCAGUCUCUUGAUAGAAUUUUCCUAAAAUUUUUUGUUUCUACCUAGCCAAUAUUUUAAUAAUCCACAAUAUUAGCUGAUUCAUAAAAAGUGCUUUUACAACCUGUUACCAUCUAAGAUAAUGCAUCAUACAAUUUUCAAGAAUGUGUUGAUUUUGAGCCUCUGUUCUGUAGAAUUCCCUGUGCUGCAGCCGGUACAUGCUCCUUUUUGAUGACUCCACAUUUAUUCUCACAGGCAUUUGUCCUGGACUCUUCUGCUAAUCAAUGAACAAACAGUAAGUCAUUCAGAUGGGCCAGUAACUCACCACUUGUCUCCAUAUGAAGGGACAAGCCAGACAAGUAGGCUACAGUGAAGAAAUCUUAUUCUGAAGAGUUAAGAAACCACUAUGGUACUUCCAGUUCCAUUUUACUACGUCCAUGUUCAUGAGCCAUGUCUGACGGCAUUCUGACCUCUCAGGACACUCAACUCUGCAACCGGAGCCAACCCGGGUGUGUUUUCUUAUAUCUGGUUGGAAUGAAGAUGACCCCCAGGGCAACCCUGAAAGCUUGAAAGCCACCAGUUAUAAACAGCAGAGCCUCCGUCAGCCCGGGUGCCCAAACGACUACAUGAAGGAGGCACUGUGGGGGCCUGUGAGAUGUACCCAGUACUGUUACAUGAACAAGAAAUAAACUCUAUGGUAUUUGAGCCAUAAUACAUUUUAAGAUUUCUGGAAUGCUCUUCCAUCAACUCACUCCACCUCUUCCGAUCUUACCAGUCGUCAGUUUGGAAACCCUAAGCUGGAUGAACUCUAUUACACUUCUGAUAUUUAUUAGUCUUAAACAUCUGCCCAGAAGGAAAUUGGAUAAGUCAGACAAGGAUCAUUUAUUACAAAGCCAUGCCUUAUGCUUUGUUCCCUUCUCAGCAUUUCUAAAUUGAUAUCUGCUGAUUUACUGCACUACUUUUCAAGCUCUCCUCCACCCUCACAUUUUGGCCUUGAGAAGAGGCCUGGCUGAUGUGAUGCUGAGUUCUGAAAAAGGAAUGUGUCUACCUGUCUCAGAACUUUCUCUCCGUAUGCCUCUGCCUGCCCACACAGAUGAUGUACUUUUCUUUGCUCUGCCUUGUGCAAUAAGCUAAGAGUAGGCCUAUGGUUUUGAAGACUUUGUUUACUUUCUUAAUCAAGAAAAUCCCAACAGAUGAAUCAAAAUUUCAGAUUAUGCUGACAUUAAAUAAAAAUGUUACUGAGCAUUAGCCAAACAUGAUCCUACAAGGUGGAAAAUUAAUAAAAAAUCAGCUCCGUCCUGUG